UGGGGAAUAUUGCACAAUGGGCGCAAGCCUGAUGCAGCCAUGCCGCGUGUAUGAAGAAGGCCUUCGGGUUGUAAAGUACUUUCAGCGGGGAGGAAGGCGAUAAGGUUAAUAACCUUGUCGAUUGACGUUACCCGCAGAAGAAGCACCGGCUAACUCCGUGCCAGCAGCCGCGGUAAUACGGAGGGUGCAAGCGUUAAUCGGAAUUACUGGGCGUAAAGCGCACGCAGGCGGUCUGUAAAGUCGGAUGUGAAAUCCCCGGGCUCAACCUGGGAACUGCAUUCGAAACUGGCAGGCUAGAGUCUUGUAGAGGGGGGUAGAAUUCCAGGUGUAGCGGUGAAAUGCGUAGAGAUCUGGAGGAAUACCGGUGGCGAAGGCGGCCCCCUGGACAAAGACUGACGCUCAGGUGCGAAAGCGUGGGGAGCAAACA
rnacentral:rRNA from 1 species